rnacentral:rRNA from 1 species
UACAGAGGGUGCGAGCGUUAAUCGGAUUUACUGGGCGUAAAGCGUGUGUAGGUGGUUGGAAAAGUCGAUUGUGAAAUCCCCGGGCUCAACCUGGGAACUGCUUUCGAUACUGUCUGACUAGAAUUCGGUAGAGGGAGGCGGAACUCCAGGUGUAGCGGUGAAAUGCGUAGAUAUUGGGAGGAACACCAGUGGCGAAGGCGGCUUUCUGGACUGAACCUGACGCUGAGGCGCGAAAGCCAGGGGAGCGAACGGG